GAUGAACGCUAGCGGCAGGCCUAAUACAUGCAAGUCGAACGGUAAGGCCCUUUCGGGGGUACACGAGUGGCGGACGGGUGCGUAACGCGUAUGCAACAUGCCUUCCAGCGGGGGAUAUACCAGGGAAACUUGGCGCAAUACCCCAUAGAAUUACGGGACCGCAUGGUCUUGUGAUUAAAACUCCGGUGCUGGGAGAUUGGCAUGCGUGACAUUAGCUAGUUGGUGAGGUAAUGGCUCACCAAGGCUUAGACGUCUAGGGGGUGGUGAGAGCAUGGCCCCCACCCACUGGGACGUGAGAUACUGCCCACGACACCUACGGGUGGGCUGCAGUCGAG
rnacentral:rRNA from 1 species